GGGAAUGUAGCUCGGUGGUAGAGCAUUUGCCUAGAAUGCCCAAGGUCCUGGGUUCUAUCCCCAGCACUGCCA
rnacentral:tRNA from 1 species